rnacentral:rRNA from 1 species
AGAGUUUGAUCCUGGCUCAGAUUGAACGCUGGCGGCAUGCCUUACACAUGCAAGUCGAACGGCAGCGGGGACUUCGGUCCGCCGGCGAGUGGCGAACGGGUGAGUAAAGUAUCGGAACGUACCUUUCAGUGGGGGAUAACGUAGCGAAAGUUACGCUAAUACCGCAUAUUCUGUGAGCAGGAAAGCAGGGGAUCGCAAGACCUUGCGCUGAUUGAGCGGCCGAUAUCAGAUUAGCUAGUUGGUGGGGUAAAGGCCUACCAAGGCGACGAUCUGUAGCGGGUCUGAGAGGAUGAUCCGCCACACUGGAACUGAGACACGGUCCAGACUCCUACGGGAGGCAGCAGUGGGGAAUUUUGGACAAUGGGGGCAACCCUGAUCCAGCCAUGCCGCGUGAGUGAAGAAGGCCUUCGGGUUGUAAAGCUCUUUCGGCCGGGAAGAAAUCGCAUAGGUUAAUACCCUGUGUGGAUGACGGUACCGGAAUAAGAAGCACCGGCUAACUACGUGCCAGCAGCCGCGGUAAUACGUAGGGUGCGAGCGUUAAUCGGAAUUACUGGGCGUAAAGCGUGCGCAGGCGGUUUCGUAAGACAGAGGUGAAAUCCCGGGGCUCAACCUGGGAACUGCCUUUGUGACUGCGAAGCUAGAGUACGGCAGAGGGGGGUGGAAUUCCACGUGUAGCAGUGAAAUGCGUAGAGAUGUGGAGGAACACCGAUGGCGAAGGCAGCCCCCUGGGCCAAUACUGACGCUCAUGCACGAAAGCGUGGGUAGCAAACAGGAUUAGAUACCCUGGUAGUCCACGCCCUAAACGAUGUCAACUAGGUGUUGGGAGGGUAAAACCUUUUAGUACCGUAGCUAACGCGUGAAGUUGACCGCCUGGGGAGUACGGCCGCAAGGUUAAAACUCAAAGGAAUUGACGGGGACCCGCACAAGCGGUGGAUGAUGUGGAUUAAUUCGAUGCAACGCGAAAAACCUUACCUACCCUUGACAUGUUCAGAAUCCUGGAGAGAUUUGGGAGUGCCCGAAAGGGAACUGGAACACAGGUGCUGCAUGGCUGUCGUCAGCUCGUGUCGUGAGAUGUUGGGUUAAGUCCCGCAACGAGCGCAACCCUUGUCGUUAAUUGCCAUCAUUUAGUUGGGCACUUUAACGAGACUGCCGGUGACAAACCGGAGGAAGGUGGGGAUGACGUCAAGUCCUCAUGGCCCUUAUGGGUAGGGCUUCACACGUCAUACAAUGGUCGGUACAGAGGGUUGCCAAGCCGCGAGGUGGAGCCAAUCCCAGAAAGCCGAUCGUAGUCCGGAUUGCAGGCUGCAACUCGCCUGCAUGAAGUCGGAAUCGCUAGUAAUCGCGGAUCAGCAUGUCGCGGUGAAUACGUUCCCGGGUCUUGUACACACCGCCCGUCACACCAUGGGAGCGGGUUCCGCCAGAAGUAGGUAGCCUAACCGCAAGGAGGGCGCUUACCACGGCGGGGUUCGUGACUGGGGUGAAGUCGUAACAAGGUAGCCGU